rnacentral:lncRNA from 1 species
UUUUUUUUUUUUUUUUGGUCAAAAAAACACCACUCACUCUCUGUGAACGCUAAUAACAAGUAAAUCUUUUUUUAAUCAGAUUAUGCAGUCCAGACCAAAGUAAUAUCUUGUUCUUAAUCUGCAACUAUUUUGUUACUAGUAUUUAAGUUGUAAGAAGAUUUGAUGAAAUGGUACCCAAAAUGAGAAAAUCCCAAGAAACAUGCAAACAUAUGUUCCCUUUUUUUUUCUUAUUGAACACCAUAUGGUCCCUUUGUUAUGUAUCAGUAUUACUAAUUAAUAAAGAAAUUUAGUCCCACACCCAAAAUAAAUCUUGUAAUGUUUUUCCUUUUUUAAACACAUAAUCUUGUGAUGUUAUUACUUGCAAAUUGUACAAUACAUCAAGAAACUUUGCAAUUAUUUUUCAUCUAAAAAAAACUUUGCAAUUAUUUUUUUUAACUUGUAAAAUACUUUAAUACAUAUGAUUUUAUAUAUUAAAAUUUUGCAAAUUAGUUACGGCUUGAUAGUUGACAAAAAAAAAAGUUACGGCUUGAUAAAUAAAAAUAAAUAAAAGUAAGAGCCUUUAAAAUAAAACUCGAGAAUAGUUGGCAAAGUCAAGGACGAUCCUUCUUCUUCUUCUUCCUCGACUCGCUGCCAUCAAACCCCCAAAACUUGGAUUCGAUCUCUCAGCUCUAUAAUCUCAUCAAUUCUCUAUAUAGGGAUAAGCUAUGGGAUGUGCUGCUUCUCUUCCAGGCAAGUUUUCUCCUUUUCGUUUUCCUUUUCUUUCUCCGUUUUGUUGAAUUUAUCAUCCUCGGUGCUCGAUUACAAGUGAGAAGAACCUAUUCGCAAGACCCUCGAGUCCAAUUUCGGGAAAGGCGAAUCCUUUGGGGUUGAAUUAGAAGCUUUCGCGAAAUUAGGGAUUGCGAAUUAUCAUUUGCGUCUUUUUUUUAGGGUUUCCGUGUGAAGAAUCUGAGAAACCAAAUCGGUUGAUGUGUGUUUGUGUUUGUGUUUCAGAUAGGAACUCUGGAGCUUUAAACGGUCUUACUAGUUCAGAGAAUGCAGCUCCAGCAGAUGCUAAGAAUCUACGCGUAAAGGUGCCAUCUUUGUGCUCUCCUUGGUAUCACCUUUGUUGCUAGACUGAUUCCUUAGAGACUUAGUAAAGAUACCUAAGUGGAGUUCUACAGCUCAGAAAGUUCAUGCUUUUUUGUGAUCUUGGUCUUUUAUACUUUGAUUUGUUAGUGAUGGAGUGAGUAUUCUUUAUAGAAUGGUGGAAUGUUAGCAAUAAACCCUCAACUUUCUUCUCUCUAUAGCUAAGUAUAAGCGAGUGACUGUAUUGCAUUAUCUUCUUGGAGCUGUGUUUGAGACUCUUAUGCUACUGAAAGAAAAUGGCUUCUCAUUAGCCUGUGUAGUGUAGUUUGUCUCUCGUGUUUCCGCAAGGCAGACUUGCUAACUUUUGGAUUCACUUGAAUGCAGUUAGUUCUUUUAGGAGAUUCUGGUGUGGGUAAAAGCUGCAUUGUCCUUCAAUUUGUCCGUGGUCAAUUUGACGCAACAUCUAAGGUAAAUAAAACCUUUUUAUCUAAUCGUCACCUGAAACUUCCUUUAUGGUAUCAAAUUGUUCUUAACUGCCAUUGAAUCUCAAAAACAAUUAUUAUGUCUCAGGUAACUGUUGGAGCUUCAUUCUUGUCCCAAACAAUAACCUUGCAAGACUCUACCACAGUGAAGUUUGAAAUCUGGGAUACAGCAGGGCAAGAGAGGUGUUAAGUCCUCCAUGUAGAUUGGUGUUUCUUAGUUAAUUGCCUUGCAUGCUCGUUAAAGCUCAAUAUGUGUUCACUUGAUUAUUUUUUUGAAAGGUAUUCUGCUCUUGCUCCACUAUACUACCGUGGAGCUGGAGUUGCUGUUAUUGUGUAUGAUAUAACAAGCCCUGAAUCGUUCAAGAAAGCUCAGUAUUGGGUUAAGGUAUGUUUUCAUGUAACCCAAAGGGUUCCAUUUCUUAUAUGUUUUUGGGAUUGAUGCUUAUAGCUUGUGAACCAAAUGACUGGAGAACUGACUUGCAGAAAGUCAUAUAUGACCAUAGAAGAGUAGAACAAUUGCAAUACAAGUGUUAUAUCAUAUAUUUCCUUUGUUUUUAACCAUGCCAUUUAAAUCUAACAGGAACUGCAGAAGCAUGGAAGCCCAGACAUUGUUAUGGCUUUGGUUGGUAACAAAGCUGAUCUACAUGAAAAAAGAGAAGUACCAUCCGAGGUGAGUUUUUGCAUAAACUUCUUUAAGUAGAUAUACAUUUUGUUGUCACUUGCACGGUUCUUGCUUCUUCAGCGUAGGGGUGUCACAUUCUCAAUUUUGUAACAGGAUGGUAUGGAGCUUGCAGAGAAGAACGGCAUGUUCUUCAUUGAAACGUCAGCUAAGACGGCCGAUAACAUAAAUGAACUGUUUCAGGUGUGCAUUUCUUUAUCCCCUCAGGAUUUAUGACCAGCUGUUUUGUCAUCUGCAUUGAUUGAGCUCUUGUGAUUUGUUUUAUUUUCAUUGCUUUGGACUUUGGAGAAUGAGUAUAAGUUGAUAGGGAGUGAGAUCUUUGUUCUUUUUAUUUGUCUAAGCUACUUCUAAAAAUUCAGAGAAAACUGAGUAGGAGAAGAAUAAUAGUUUCAGGUGUAGAAAGAAUGAUUGAUUGUGAAUCAGGUUUUGAUGUUUUGUACAUGUUUGUGUGAAUAGGAAAUUGGAAAGAGGCUACCUCGUCCUUCUCAACCAUCAUCAUGAUUGGAGUGUUUGGAUCAUCCCAUCUUCAGUGAAAAGCUUAAACCUUUCUCCUGGUUACUAAUCUUUUACUUACUUUCAUGUAAUGUUAUUAAACGGUAUUUUAUUAUAUAUGUUUUAAGUGUGUUGUGUAAUACGAAGAUUCGAGGUUGAGAAGCCUUAAUUAAAUUAAGCAAUGAUGGGGGAUUAUCACAUGUACAUUUAUAUCUACUAUAAGAAAGAGAACGUAGCAGCUACUCUACAGAAACGAAUCUAUUGAAAAGGAAAAUUUGACCAUUUCAAACAAGACUAGCAUAUUAAAUCCUCUACUCAGACACGCCUCACAUGACCUGAUUCUACAUACUCGGAGUUUGUCAUGUCAUGUGUAUUCAUUUAUAACUAUGUUAGCUAGUGACAACUAGUUUUGACUUCUGAUUGUUUGUGCAUCCACAACUCACACACGUAUAUUUCGAAAUCCAAAAUUGAAUCUUGAAUCUGACGUGACACUAGUAUUUUAAAAAUUGGUUUAGUCAUCGGAACAAAACAAUUUUUUUUCAAACUGAUGUUUUAAAAACCGGUCUAGACGUAAAAAAAAAUUCAAUCUAAAACCCCCACUAAAUACUCACCUAAAUAUUAAUCUUUUAUAAAAACCGAAUUUUAGAAGACAGACAAACAAGUUAGAUGAUGCUUAAAUAAAUAGAAGAUAGUAACUAAAAAGAAAAAAAUCUGAUUGGUUCAAAAAGGGACAACUUGUGGCUUUUUUCAGACAGAGAAGACUUUAGGUGUUUGUUUAUUUUAUUGUCACGUUGGUAAGGAAGGAUUAAGCGAUAACUGUUGUUUUUUAUUAAGGGGUCUUAAUGGCUCCAUCGCAUUCUUCCUCCCUUUAACCAUCUUCUUCUUCUUCCUCCUUUGGAGCUAUCUCCAGGAUGGGAUCAACGAAUGGUUCCGAUGAGGAGCUCAUGAGUCGUCUCGUUGACUCCGUCAAGCAAAUUUCAAAGUUCUCCAAUUCCAAAGGCUUCUUCGGGAGGAUCCAAGGCGAUCUCGUCCGUAGGAUCACCCUUCUCAGCCCUUUCUUCGAGGAAUUAAUCGACAUCAACGCUGAGUUGAACGAAGAACAACAACUCACAGGUUUUGAGGUUAUGAGGAUCGCUCUCGAUUCAAGCUUAGAGCUUUUUCGAUCUGUCAAUGGAGGCAGCAAACUUCUUCAGGUUUUUUUCUUUUACUAUUUCUUCCUUAAAGAUUCUCUCGUUGGUCGCUUGCAAAGUUAGCAGCUUUCCUCUGUUUUCUUAGGGUUUAAGAUACUUAACCAAUAUCAAGAACAAGAAAAGGUUGACUCUUUUCAUGUUUUGUUUGUCCUCUCUGUGCUGGCAGAUCGUCCAUAGGGGUUCUAUUAUGCAGAAGUUCCACGACGUGACAGUGGAGAUAGAAGCAGCCUUAACUCAGAUCCCUUAUGAUCACUUCGAAGUCUCCGAGGAGGUCAUAGAACAGGUUCUUCUCAGCGCAUUUGUUUUUUUUUUUCUCUCGUUUGGCUUUGGCCACAAUGGUUUGCAAAUUCUAAUGAUAUUAUCUCUUUUGAAUUUGUAGGUCAAGCUUCUGCAUUCUCAAUUCAAGAGAGCAACAGAAAGACAAGAGGACUAUGAUCUGCAGCUAAGCCAUGAUCUAGCCGUGGCAGAGAGCGUGGUAGAUCCUGACCCUGAAACCCUCAAAAGACUGUCGCAAGAGCUCCAACUCAGCACUAUUGAUGAGCUCAAGAAAGAAUCUCACGCCAUUCACGAGUACUUUCUUUCGUAUGAAGGGGAUCCAGAUGACUGCUUUCAGAGGAUGUCCUCUCUUCUUAAAAAGCUGGUAGACUGUGCAUCAACUGAAAGUUCGGAACCGGAUGCAUCUACUGGCAGCAAAGUCAUUUCGAGACAUCGGUCUCCUGUUAUACCAGAGUACUUUCGGUGUCCGAUAUCACUUGAACUGAUGAAAGAUCCUGUCAUCGUCUCCACUGGACAGGUCUGCUUUUGCAUUGUAGUGAGUUUGGUUCAUUACAUUUGUGUAGUGCUGGGCAUUUUGGGUUAUUCGGGCAGGGGACAGGGGUGUUUAGGACCUGUUUAGGAACCGGACAAUUUUUAGAUCGGUUUGGGUUGGGUUUCUAUUUUUAUAAAACCCAAAGUGGAACCGAAAUAAUUUGUGUUUGGUUUGGGUUUAAAGUCCGAAAAUCAAAAAAACUUCAAAAACCCUGAAAAAUAUUCAAAUAAUUCGGGUUUUGGAUAUUUUUAUUUCUAAAUUGUAUUAUAUAUAUAUUAAAAAUAAUUAAUAUUUUAUUAUAUUUUGAAUAUUCGAGUACCUCUUUGGUUUUCUGUUCCAGUCGGUUUCGGUAUUUCGGGUUUAGAAAAAAUAGGAAUCCUUUGGGUUUCGGUUUUAGUUUUCUCGGUUCAGUUGGUUUUUGGGUUACUGUAAUUUGCCCAGGACUACAUUUUUGUAUGCAUUUGUUGUUUUAGCUGGUUUUUUCUCGACCUUGCAGACAUAUGAGAGAUCAUCCAUACAGAAGUGGCUAGAUGCUGGUCAUAAAACCUGUCCGAAAUCUCAGGAGACACUCUUGCAUUCCGGAUUAACACCUAACUACGUGCUAAAAAGUCUCAUUGCUCUGUGGUGUGAGAGCAACGGUAUCGAGCUUCCGCAAAACCAAGGGAGCAGCUACAGAACCACAAGACCAGGAGGAGGUAGCAGCUCUUCGGAUUGUGACCGAGCAUUUGUCCUCGCCUUGUUAGAGAAGCUGGCCAACGGAUCUACAGAACAGCAAAGAGCUGCAGCUGGAGAGCUUCGGUUACUAGCCAAGAGGAACGCGGACAACAGAGUCUGCAUCGCUGAGGCUGGAGCCAUACCGCUCCUCGUUGAGCUUCUAUCCUCACCGGAUCCUCGGACUCAAGAACACUCCGUGACGGCUCUUCUGAAUCUUUCUAUAAACGAAGGCAACAAAGGAGCCAUUGUUGACGCAGGAGCUAUCACAGAUAUAGUGGAAGUGCUUAAAAACGGAAGCAUGGAGGCUAGAGAGAACGCAGCCGCGACGCUUUUCAGUUUAUCUGUUGUAGAUGAGAACAAAGUGGCGAUAGGUGCUGCUGGAGCUAUCCAAGCUCUUAUAAGCUUGCUUGAGGAAGGAACAAGAAGAGGGAAAAAAGACGCGGCAACUGCUAUAUUCAAUCUGUGCAUAUACCAAGGGAAUAAAUCAAGAGCCAUUAAGGGAGGUAUCGUUGAUCCUCUGACAAGGUUACUGAAAGAUGCAGGUGGAGGAAUGGUGGAUGAAGCUUUGGCUAUCUUGGCGAUACUUUCAACGAACCAAGAAGGGAAAGCAGCUAUAGGUGAAGCAGAUACUAUUCCUGUUUUGGUUGAGAUUAUAAGGACAGGGUCACCGAGGAACAGGGAGAACGCUGCAGCUAUACUUUGGUAUCUAUGUAUUGGGAAUAUGGAGAGGUUGAAUGUAGCGAGAGAGGUUGGUGCAGAUGUUGCGUUGAAGGAGCUUACUGAGAAUGGGACUGAUAGAGCUAAGAGGAAAGCUGCGAGCUUGUUGGAGAUCAUUCAGCAACUCGAAGGUGUUGUGAUAUCUACUGUUCCAUGAAAGGCUUGCUCUUUGUGGAAAUCUUAUUUGUUUCAGUAUAGAUUAUAUAUGUAUAGGAAGCUUUUGGAUUGACUCUGACUAAAGAAGCUUAUGUAAUGUCUACUCAGUUUUGUGUAUACAAUAAAACCUCUUUAAUUAGUAUUUGUUAGUAGUGUAAGAUAAUAUUCUCUCUGCUCGUUAUUGCAUUCUGGUCAUCUGUUGUUAAGUUGAAAUGAAAAUAUGCAUCAACAAAUAUAUUACUGAUUUGUAUAUAAAAGAUCAUACUGUCUCUCACCACAAAAGAAAAACAUAUACGAGAACAUUUGAAUACCAUUCACUCUGCAACCAAAACGAUCCAGAAGAAGAGUCACAAAGACAUAAAAAGACAAUAAAUAAACACACAAUAGCACUCGAGAGAAAAGAUAACGCUCUCUUACGGAUCAGCCUUGUUUAUCCAUGAAUGUUUCUAUUAGUGUUGCGCCAUUGAUGAUCUUUGUUGUAGCAAUAAUCAAAUCAUAAGCCAUUCCUUCCUGAAAAAGAAGCAAUUGAAGAAGGAAGGCUUCAGCAAAAGAGUGUCUUUUAAUCAUAAACUCUUGGAAGUUUGCAUAUUACCUUGGAGGCGAGAAACCGUAGGGCAGAGAUUUCAGCAAAUGUUACACCUCCAAUGAAGACAACAAGAACAACUGAGCGUCUUCCAUCAGCAACCCUGUAAUGAUGUUGUAACAUAAAUGUUUUAUCCUUCUGUAGAAACUACUUUUGUGGUAUCGAACUAAUUGAUAAUGAUAAUAAACUUUACCCAUUUGAAGCUCCAUGCAAUGAAUCAACUGAUGGACUACUUGGGAAUCCACUCUGCAUAGAGAUGGUACAUAAUGUGAUCACAAAAUAGUCGAAAACAGAAAAUACAAUAGCAUAACAAAACAAUUCUUUUUUUUUUCUCCAGUUGGGUAAACGUGUACUGACUCUUUUAGUUUCCAGAUGUGGUCCUGGCAACAGCUUCAAAAUGUCUUCUAUUGGACGCCUGUAAGGUAGAUUGAGGACUCAUUAAUAUUAAACACAUCACUCUGUCAACAUUCAUAUAUGAAUUAAUAAAUGUUCUUUCAAGUUCUGAUAUUUGCUGAGUUCUUCUGUGCAUGUCACUUAAUGCUUCUCAACUCGAAACUGAACAGAAUUCUAGACUUUUUCUCUUCAUGGUUAUAUUAAUAUAUAGAAAAGCCCAAGUGUUAUUUUAUACACAGGCUAGCUAGUCAACAUUUUGGUCUAGAAGAGUGCAAGAACAUACUAACCAUCCGGAAUGUAUAGCUUGUUGGACAAGACGAAUGCUAAGAGGAGCAUAUCCAGAAUAGACAUAAGCGAUAUCAACCGGCCUGCAACAAGAACAGUGUUUCAAACAACUCAAAUAAGCACUAAUUUUAUUUCUUACGAUUAGAAAAAGUUUGGUACAAGGCCUAGCAUAUCAGGUGAAUGAAGGUAACAUAUGACAUGAUAUCACAAAUGCAACAUAUGGAAAGUGAUGACGUAAAACCAUAAAUGCACAGAAUACAACACAAUAGACAAACAAGGAGGAAACAGAUUGCAAGUCAAGAAAAAGGGAGAGUCCUCAUAGAUAAACAAAAUUUGCAAGUCAAGAGCGAGCUUUCGAGCCGGGCUUUAGAAGAUACCAGAGAUAUCUUCGAAAACAAAAAUAUUCAGCCAGAGCUGUAACUAAAUCAUGCAUUAGCGAUAAUGAAGGUAUUGUCAAAUAUUGUAGUUGGAAAAUCAGCUUUCAGGUUUUAUACGUUCAUUCAAGAUUACGUUUGCAUAUUUUCUGAACUAGACAUCUGGACCCGCUUCAUAAGCGUAACCCCAUAAACAAAAAUCAUGCCAUCAUGUAUUCAGUUGGUGACAACAUGACUAAAAAGAAUAUUUACCUUGACGUAUCUGUGUCUUCAACUAUAAGUUUCAUUGUACGUUUCACUGUCUGCCAGUUGCUUUUAAACUCCUGUAGAAACCAAACGAAUGUACAACAACCCCUUAGAAUAUCAGACACACUUAACCCCAAUAAACAAGAAGAUUGUUCAUCCCACAAAGUAGCCAAGAAUAACCAAACCUGUUUCUUCAACAAUCCUGCUUUUUCCAAGUUGUUCAAUACGUUCACAUGCUCAAACCCAUAACUGUGGAGUAGUUCCGUUCUGGAAGUUGAGACACGAAGACAAGAUAUCAUUCAAAAAGCAGAAAAAUUAAAUAUAAAAUACCGAUGAUUGCUGGAAGCUAGCUUGCCUUAUAUAAUCAAAUUGCUUUUUCGGUAACCCUGAGUUUGUAAUAGAAAAUAGGACCAAUAGUCGCAGGACUUUAGUGAGAGGCUCCUGUUUAUGGAUCAAUUCUUCUAUGUACUCAAAGCAUCUGUAUUAACAAACUAGAGUUAGUAAUAAUAAAUCAUAUAACAGACUUUUCCAUUAUGCCAUCAACGUAAGAUGUUUUCCACAUCACUUGUAAUAGAAAGAAUCAUCAAGAUACUUUUGAAUGGAAGUAUUAAAUUCAAUUUCCUUAAGAAGAAACUUACAUGUCAUAACUUUCUGCCUCAACUAGUGUUUGUUCCAUGUCAAGCUGCGAAAGAAAUGACUGCUUGGACGUGAAUGUUGUCAGGUGCUGAGCAAGAUGUAUGUGCCUCUGGGAAAGAAAAAAAUCAUACAAAAUCAAGUUAGGAUGAAACUUAUCGUUUUCUGAACCAUCUGCGAGAUAAAACAAAAGGAACUUUAAGAAAACAAGGCAAUACUUACUGUCAUCUCUGGUAAUGAGUUAAGCUUCUUGACAAAGUCCUUUAGCUCAGAAACUGUCUGGGUCUGUGUAUUAUAUUAUCAUACACCAUUAAAAUCUCGGUCCAACUAAUAAUCUAAGUUUAAAAUGUAUGGAUAGGCUGAUAGUUCCUAAGGAAUACAUGGUCUAUAUUAAUUUGGUAACUAUUUAUGUGCCAAAGAAUACUCCUGAAUCCUGAUCGAGUCUAAGAGAUCUGACCACAAAUAUGUAUGUACCAUAACCUCUACCGCGAAAACAAGACUACCUAAAGGGAGAGAGCGACAAAACAAACGUACAGAAUUAAUUUCAGUAUAGUCCUCCUUCAUGGUUGUUGCCUUCUGCCGUAGAACCUGCAAUCAUACCGCGUCUGUAGUUGAGUAAAAAGAAUCCCAUUUAACGCAAAAAAUGAAAGCUAAAAGGACAAACGUCAACCUGCACAACGACUUCAAAGUUGAGAUCCCUCGUCUCCUUGAACAAUUUAUCACUGUAAAUUUAAACAUUCAAGCAAUAAAUUUAUGAAAGACAUAGAUAGGCACAGUAGCUUGGAAAGUCCAAUCUAGCUACCAGUUUAGGGAGCGAUUUUGUGUGCAUAAUCAAUUAAUACACAUUAAUAUCAACACAACAGUGUGCUUAUCCAAUCCAAGAAAAUCACAAUUUCUAUUCCAUGCAUCAAAAAUACUCACAAAAAUCAUAUAGCAAUGCAGUAGAAAUGGUCUCCUACGGUUGAAGAAAUUUGUAUAUACGAUGCAAGAAACUAACCUUGAAUUAAGGGGAACCUUCAUCUUUUUCCCCUCCUGCUGAGAACCCAUCACAGACGAGUCGACCUCGACAGCUCCAUUACUGAUAUGCAAAAACUUUAAAUAGGGGUUGGAGUCAGCUCACAGAAAACCCAAUCGACCAGCUUGAUUAAAAUCCAAAUUGUAUGGUUGUUUGUUAUCAACCAAUGAAAUUAAGUAGGAUAAUGACAAUCGUUUGUGGCAUUACCUCGUUUAACAAUCCUUCAUAAGUUAACUGGGUACACAUUGGUGUAACCAUAUCAACCUGAAACAGAAAGUAUUAAAGUCAAUCAGAAUGUACUUUUGAAAGAUAUCUUUGUGUUGAAGGAUGUCAUAUAAUUGGGAAACGCAUGAUAAUCAUACCUCUCUAUCCAACAGAAUGAGUGUAUCUACUUCAGGCCUUCCCACCUGGAAUAGAACUUGCGUCAUUUAGAAUAGUGACCAAAGGAAACAAAAUCAUCUGAAAAAUAUAAGAUAUCGAAGUCAUUGAAUAUUAAAGCACUCAAAAUGCUGCAGGCAAAUUUUUACAUCAUUGGUAUUGACAGGUUCCUCCACUUGCAUGCGGUUAAGUAUAUCUGCAACACGAACUGAUCCUUUGCCCUUUGCCCUCACUUUCGGUAUAACUCCAAAAGAAAACUAUGAUAGGUGUCAGCCAUGAGAAAGCACAAUGUGGAUCAUAACGUAAAGAAUAAGGAAAGAUUCAAACCUCGAGCUCAUGUAUUGCUUUUGCAACAUGCCAAAGUGAGCUAACAUCACCAUCGACAAGGCAAUCCUAUCAUUUUGAAAAACAAGAAAUAUGUGAGCUUAAGGCCUCAAGGGAAAUGGUACAUGAAGUAAUAAGUACAAAUUGGACAUAUGCGAGUUGUACACACUUUUUCACAGAGCUCAAGCUCAAAAGAUAUCACAUCCUCAUCCAGUGGAACCAUAUACAGAGGAAACUCCUUCACGGUAACCAGGUUAUGAACUUUUUCCUGCUCAAGAAUCUGAAAUAGCAGGAUAAGAUAUUUAUCACCCUUUAUUCAAGAGGUAGUAAGAACAAUGAAAAUGAAUCACAAAGAGUCGAAGAAGAUGGCAAUAACCACACACCUUCUCACACGCGACAGACCUACGAGGAACAAAGUAAACGUAGUAGUCUCUCUGAAUCGCUUUGGAAAUAUCAUUCUGAAUGUGCGAAGCUAUGUGUUUCAUAAAACUGAGUUGAGAUCGAACAAGAUAGACCACUUUCGUGCAUUCAGUCUGAACUGGUUCUUCAGAAAGAUGUCGUAAUUCCAAACCAAGUUCCUGUUAAGCAGAAGACCACUAGUGUUGAAACAAUACUCUCAACCAUUAUAAGAAGAAAAUAAAUAAUCUCAUUUCUUCCUUUCCUAAACAGACUAACAGAGUAAUCAAUCUAAAGUCAUUUAAACCUGGCAUUACCUUAAGUGUGGAAGUCUGGAUGAUCAAUGAAACGGAACCGCUUAGCUUUGGAUCAAUAACCAGACACUUAGUUCCACGAAUCUACAAAAAGGCACCAAAGAGAGAAGACAAAACAUUAGUUGUGUUCCGAAAGCUCUUUUUCUACCCAAAAUGUGAAAUUGGUAACUGAUAACAACAACAAUGCGAAUCAUAUCGAAAGAGAGAGAGUAACGAGACUUACGUCUUUAAGCAAGUUUACGAGCUCCCUCUGAGACUUCUCCCUGAAUUAGAAUUGAGCAAAACAUAUGAGAGGAGAACGAGAAAACGAUCAAUUUAAGUAUUGAAAAUGGACUCUCACCUAAUGGAUUUGAGAUUGAGAGGAGCAUUCUCCAAGUUAGGGAUCUGCGCCAUGGAAGACGAUCAGAGAUGAUCGGACCUGUUCGACGUUUCUCUGUUUUUUUUUCCUUCACCGUGCGACCGCAAAGGACGAGCACGGUGGAGAAGAUAGUUAGAAACACUAAAUGGGCCUCAUAAGUCUGUAUAUGGGCUUUUACAUCUAAGCUUAGAAGCUGGGCUUGGUCUUGUUCUGUGAGUGGUGUUAAUUUGCUCAUAUGUUUUUGUCAAACGUUAUUAAUUUGCCCAAAUGUUUUCAUCAACGAUGUUGAUAAUGUUCAAGAUUAAUGUACAUGAGAAUGUUUUAUAUGAAACAAAUUUCAAAUAUAUUUCAAACUGACUAAGCAGAGUCAGUUUAUUUUUUGCAUUGGAAAAUCUGGUACUACUUGGAAAAUUUUAGAGGAACAAAUUGACAACAAGAAGACGUACGAUAGAUAUACGUCACUGGUACAAAGGGUCUCUCAUGUGUCAAAAUAUGUGAGUUUACAGAUGUUGAGGUAGACAAGGCCACGUCCAUCAUGAAGAUGUUGAGGGGGAAUCAUCAUGAAGAAUGCUAUGAGAGUGUACGUCCAUAAGAAUCUGGGAUCCACUCUAUAUUGUUUGGUAUUCAUAUGAAGUUAUGGACCAUUGAUGUGUUGGACCCGCUGCUACUUAUAAUGAAUUCAUGAGUUUAUAAAUAAAAUAAGCAACCCUACAUUUUUGUUCGUUUACUAUUAGGCAACCCUAGACGUAUUGCUUCCACACUACAAAAAAACAGGCGAGAAAAACGAAUUCCCAACGAAUUUGUUUGCGAAAUACUCCCUCCGUUCUUAAAAAAUCCAUGUUUUAGAAAAAAAAAUUGUUUCAAAAAGAUACAUUUUUUAUAUUUUCAAUACAUAAAUUAAAUGUAAAUUGUAAACUUCAAAAAACAUAAUUGUAUUUAUUAAAAUUCUAUUGGUGAAAACUUGUGGGAUAUAGUUGAUUACGGAAAAUAAUGUAUUGGUUACUAAAAUUUGAUAUAUUUUCUUAAUAAAUAUGAAAAUCUUAAAAUAUGGAUCUUUUAAAAACAAAGAGAGUAUAACGUAGGUCGGAUUUCAUGAAAUUAAACCGUCUAAUGCAAUGGUUGAGGAAAAAUAGAUUGAGAUAUAUAUAUUCGAGAAAAUAGGAAUGAAACUUUAUUCUUUGAAGAUAUAGACAUAGGCAAUAGUUUCGAAGAUAUAUAACACUAUACUAUACGAUAGUUCUCGUGGGGAAAUAAGUAGUUGUUCCACAAAUUUGUUGUCGAAUUUUCCGAUAGACAUGCGUUUCUUUAUUGUUUUUUUUUCUUUCAAAUUUGUAGAGAGUAUUAGUAAUAUAAAAAUAUUCAAUUUCAAAGAUUUUGACGAAUUCACCACGGAGUGAUAACGAGCAGCCAGUACCUGUCCGAUUAAUCAAUUAUCUAGGGCGAGUUUUUGAACAUUGUACUCAUCUUAUACCAUUAGAUAAAUUCAUUAACUUGUAGUUUUGUACUGUUUAUAAUGUUUUAGUUAAUUUAUAUUUUCAUUUGCAUAUAAAUUAUAAAUUAUAUUUUUAUAUGCUUUUUUUUUUCUAUUAACUGUUCAUCGAUUUCACAAAAUUAAUGCUGAGUCUCCUAGGCAAGUGUAUAAAAAAAAUUAAAAUAAAACAAAGACACAAAAGGGCCCCUUCCUCAACGUCACCCACUAAACCACGAACGCGGGAACCCAUAAUUUCAUUUUAUUCAUUUUCACAGCCGUCGUCGGUCGUGCCUCCCUCUUCCCCUCUUCAUUCAUCUCUUUCCACUUCUCCACGAACUUUUCAAAUCCACUCUCCUUUCAAUCAAUCUUCUCCCCCCCCCUCCUUUCGUGCAUCGCGACGAGCUUUACUACUAUGACUUCUUCCUCGAACUCAUCCUCCGCCGUCAGAUCGUCGGCGAAACACGCGGCUGACCGGAUUCAGCAGCACCUGCCUCCCAGCAACCCCGCGUCCCUCUCUUCGUCUUCCUUGAACUUACCCUCUAAGACCUCUAUCGCCGCUUCGAUUAACCACCACUCUCCUCGCCCUAAAGAUCGACCUUCCUCCACCGCCUCCUCCGUCUCCGCCGCUUCUCCUUCUACUCGCCGCUCCGGCACCCCCGUCCACCGAUCUCAGUCUAAAGACUUCGACGACGACAACGGUAUCUCCCCCUUCCUCUCUCUCUCUCUCUACUUCGUGUAUUAUCCGUACGAUUCUCCAUUUGCGUUAACGGAUUUGAUGACUCUUCACUCUAGGGCGAUUGUAUACUCGAUUUGGGGAUUAGGAUUGUUAGUGAUGAUCGUUGAUUUUGAUUUUGAGUUUAAGUUGAUUGGUCAUAUGGUGAAUUGGAACUUCGAUAUUGAGUUUGAAUUUCAAAUUGUUAUAUUCUCUACAGAUCCAGGGAGGGUGAGAGUUUCUGUAAGAGUUCGACCUCGUAACGGAGAGGAGCUUAAAUCAGAUGCUGACUUUGCUGAUCUUGUUGAGUUACAACCUGAGGUCAGUCACUAUGCCUUUCUCCCUCUCUUAAGUUAUAGUUAGAUCCUUAGAAAGUGCUCUUUUGUUUUGUUUUCUCUACAGAUAAAGCGGCUUAAGUUGAGGAAAAACAAUUGGAACUCUGAGUCCUAUAGAUUUGACGAAGUCUUUACAGACACAGCUUCUCAGAAACGCGUUUAUGAAGGAGUAGCAAAACCUGUAGUCGAGGUUAGAAAAUCAUUCUAUUCUUGAUGUAGAAUCUUUGAGGAUGAGAUUUUAUUUUCGAUAUUCAUUACUGCAUUCGUUCUGUAGGGUGUUCUGAGUGGAUACAAUGGCACAAUCAUGGCUUAUGGUCAAACUGGCACGGGUAAGACUUACACCGUGGGAAAAAUUGGUAAAGAUGAUGCAGCUGAGCGUGGUAUCAUGGUUCGAGCUCUUGAGGAUAUACUUGCCAGCGCGUCCUCUGCUUCUUCUGUUUCAGUGGAGAUCUCUUAUUUGCAGGUGUGACACUAUAGAUCUUCUGCGUUGAUCUCUUUUUCAUUUAUAGCAUGACUUCAAUGCUUAGACCAUACAUGCCUAACAUCUAUGUUGCUCUUCUUGUAAUUCACAGCUUUAUAUGGAGACUAUACAAGAUCUUCUUGCACCUGAGAAAAGCAACAUUUCAAUCAAUGAGGAUGGGAAGACUGGGGAAGUAUCAGUACCAGGUGCAACAGUAGUUAACAUUCAAGAUCUAGACCAUUUCUUUCAAGUUUUGCAAGUCGGUGAGACAAACCGCCAUGCGGCGAAUACAAAGAUGAAUACAGAAUCCUCACGUAGCCAUGCCAUUCUUACGGUGUGUAACACCUUAGAAUAUUUGGUCUUUUAUGGUUCUUGGUCAUUAAAAGUAGUCCAUGUUUUGGAUUAAUGAAAUGUAUCUUCUAUGCAGGUUUACGUUAGGCGGGCUAUGAAUGAAAAGGCUGAAACAGGAACUAAAUCGCCAAAACCUGAAUCUUUGGGAGAUAAAGGCAUUCCAAGAGUUAGAAAGAGUAAACUUCUAAUUGUGGAUCUUGCUGGCUCAGAAAGAAUAAAUAAAUCUGGUUUGAACUCAUUCCCUGUUCAUAUAACCACCAUUCAUUUCAUAUCAAGUAGGUUAUGACUGAGUUAUAUCCUGUUUUUUAUUAAGGCACUGAUGGCCACUUGAUUGAAGAGGCGAAAUUCAUUAAUCUUUCACUGACAUCUCUGGGAAAGUGCAUAAAUGCAUUAGCUGAAGGCAGUUCUCAUAUACCGACUAGAGAUUCUAAGCUAACAAGGCUUCUUCGUGAUUCUUUCGGGGGUUAGUUUACCAGAACUUUCUUGAGCCAUUUAUAAAAACACAAAGCGUGGCUCACUUCUGUGUGCCUUCUACAUUUUUCAUGUUUUUCCAGUUAAGCUUGUGCCUAUUACAUAAAUUUUGAAAUUGUUCUUUUUUCGGCACUGAUCAAAUAGGUUCUGCAAGGACUUCACUUAUAAUAACUAUUGGGCCGUCUGCACGGUAUCAUGCAGAGACAACUAGCACAAUAAUGUUCGGACAAAGGGUCAGUUUCAUGUUUCUGUUGAUCCAUGAUUCUAUCUAUAUCUGCAGAAUCGUAAACUGAGAAAGACACAGUUUUCUGAUAUUUUAAAGACACAGUUUUCGAGUAAUGCCUUGUUGGUUUUGUCUCACUUUUACAGGCAAUGAAAAUAGUAAACAUGGUAAAGCUUAAAGAAGAAUUCGAUUAUGAAAGUUUGUGUCGGAAGCUUGAGACUCAGGUGGACCAUCUUACUGCAGAAGUUGAAAGACAAACCAAACUAAGAAAUAGUGAGAAGCUCGAGUUGGAGAAAAGAUUGAGAGAAUGUGAAAACACUUUCGCUGAAGCAGAAAAGAACGCGGCAAGGUCCAAGGUAUUUGUCUCUUGUAAUGAUUGGCUACUAUUUUCUUUAUAUUGAACUAUUGUCUAGUUUCUUGAUAUGAUGCCUAUUUUACUAUUAUCCGGUGCUUAUAUUUUGAGGGGUGAAUCUGAAUUACAGUUCCUGGAGAAGGAAAAUGCCCGCUUGGAGCUUCGUAUGAAAGAACUAUUGAAGGAUUUGGAAAUGCAGAAAGAUCAGUGUGAUCUAAUGCGUGACAAAGCCACACAAUUGGAGAUGAACUUGAAAAAUACAAAGGUACACUUUCUAUCAUAUGUUCGUAGUUCUCUCAGCAACUACUUAGAAUAUAUUAUUAGUUGACUACUCUCUUUCUUUUGAUCUUUAUUUAACUACUCACAGAAGCUCUUGGUUGUUUUCUCACUAUUAAGAUAAAUUUUAAGCAGUGUCUUCUUUUGUAGUUGUGUAUGUAUAAUUUAACAGGCUCUGACAUUGUCAUUUUACUUGUUAGUAGCAGCAACAACUGGAAAGUUCGGCAUAUAAGGAAAAACUUGCAGAUGCCAGUAAAGUAUACGAGACAAAAAUUGCUGUUUUGGUUCAGCGGGUUGAGGAUGAACAAGCCCGGUCAACAAAUGCCGAGCAUCAAUUGAACGAAAUGAAAAAUAUUUUGAGUAAUCAGCAGAAGUCUAUUCAUGUUAGUUAAAACUCCUUUAAAAAAAAUUUGAAUGCAUUAGUCUUGUGUUCAAACUAAUGUUUUUUUUGGGUGUUCUAGGACCAAGAGAUGGGCAACUAUCAAUAUCAAAGGGAACUUGCGGAAGCCACUUACACGUAUGAAUCUAAAAUCGCGGAGCUCCAGAAGAAAUUGGAAGAUGAACAUGCUCGGUCUAACUCUGCAGAGGAGCAACUUAGACAGAUGAAAAGUAUUAUAAGCGAUCGCCAAGUUUUAUCACAGGUUAUUGGCGUAUUCUUGAUUUUUUGAAACUGGAUUUUAAUAAGAACGAUACUUUCAGCUUUAUGUUUCUGUCUUUUUUAUCUUUUCAGCAAUGAUAAAUUCUACUCUUGCAGAACUUUCUGUCUCCAACUUUGUUUUUUUUUUUUUCUGGUUUUGGUUUCAGGAAAAUGAAAAGACAAACGAACUCAAGAAAAAACUAGAAGAACUUUCACAGAUGUAUGAGUCGACAGUAGAUGAACUCCAGACAGUGAAAUUAGACUAUGAUGAUCUGCUCCACCAAAAGGUGUGACCCCUAAACAUCUGCUUACAGAAAGAAUAUCAAACAAUUAAGAGUUGGUCAUAUUAAUUUAAAACAUCCAACUGUUGAUUUUCGCUGAUGAAUACACAUUAAAAUUUGUUUGACAUAGGAAAAACUUGGUGAAGAGGUCCGGGAUAUGAAGGAAAGGCUUCUUUUGGAAGAAAAGCAGAGAAAACAAAUGGAGAGUGAGCUUUCCAAACUAAAAAAGAAUCUAAGGGAAAGUGAAACUGUUGUUGAGGUGAAUUUAGAAUGAGCUUGUUUCACCUUUUUCAACAUGUACUUGUACUUCAUGGUCUUGCUAAGUCCAUUUCUAUUUCACAGGACAAGCGUGUGAAGGAAGAUCUUCCAAAAGGACCAUCAGAAUCUGGAGCUCUACCAGGCUCACAGAGAUCUCAUGGGUUAAAAAAGUCUCUAUCUGGACAGAGAGCUACCAUGGCAAGACUUUGUGAAGAAGGCAUGAUUCUUUCUCGUUAGUUUAGCUCGAUUUUAUUCUGGGAUAAUCCAAUUGACAUCUUCGUUUCUACUUCGGUUUCAGUGGGAGUCCAGAAGAUAUUACACCUGAUUAAGUCCGAAGACUUGGAAGUUCAAAUCCAAGCCGUUAAGGUGGUGGCUAAUCUGGCCGCUGAAGGUGUGUGAUUUCAUCGCUCUAUAUAUUAGCAUGUGUCAGUAGCCUCAAAUUUAUAUUCCUCUCUACUGUUACAAUACUGACUUUAUCUUUGUAUAUCAUGUGUCCUUGUACCUAAACGACUUGCAUUCUCUGUGUGUAUGUGUUUAGAAUCUAAUCAGGUCAAGAUUGUGGAGGAAGGCGGUGUGGAAGCUUUGCUUACGCUUGUUCAGUCAUCUCAAAAUUCAACAAUUCUUAGAGUGGCUUCUGGUGCAAUAGCUAAUUUGGCAAUGAACGGUAAGAACUUCUAUUGGUAGUUCAAGUAAUUUUUAUGUUAUUGUUGUCCACAAACCCGUUUAAACUUACUACUAAAAAGCAGUGCCAAUUUAGACUUUAAAAGUGGUCUCAUGUGGUUGUGUCAUUUAUUUACAAUGCUGGUUUGCUUGAAUGUUGAAUCUGCAAGUUGAAUUAGAUGGUUCGUGAUGCCAUGCUUCAAUAAUAUGGUUUCUUUUAUUAAUUGCAGAGAAGAGUCAAGAUUUAAUAAUGAAUAAAGGAGGUGCUCAACUGCUAGCAAAGAUGGUGACCAAAACAGAUGAUCCACAAACUCUAAGAAUGGUAGCUGGUGCACUUGCCAAUUUAUGUGGAAACGGUGAGCACAAGAUUUUCAAACGCAUCUACUCGUCUGCACUGUAUAGCAUAUGCAAAAUCCAAUAUAUUUGGUGAAGCUUUUUGCUGGGAUGAUAAGUAUGUAUUUAACUCGUACAUGUUGCUGUCUAUUGCACAAACAGAGAAGUUUCUUAAGCUCCUGAAAGAAGAGGAAGGUAUCAAGGGACUACUCACAAUGGCGCAGUCCGGAAACAUAGACAUCAUAGCUCAAGUGGCAAGAGGGAUGGCAAAUUUUGCAAAAUGUGAAACUCGCGAAAUCAUGCAAGGUUUGUUGUAAUACAGAGAUACCUCAUAAAAAAAUGCAGAUCCAAGUCAAUUUUGCUAAUAUACGUUGAGUGAUCAUAUGCAUCGCAGGGCGUAGAAAAGGUCGUUCUCUUCUUCUGGAAGAAGGUGCUCUUGAAUGGCUGACUUCAAACUCACAUAUUGAAUCCGCAUCAACACAACGUCACAUCGAGCUUGCGCUUUGCCAUUUAGCUCAAAAUGGUAAGCCUAUAUUGUGUUGAGUAAAACUGAUUUCACAUGUCUCUCACUCUCUAGAGCAGGCCCAGCUUAUAUGCAUACCUCCUCUUAUUUGAUACAGAGGCAAACGCGAUUGAUUUCAAAAGAACGGGAAGCGUGACAGAGAUCGUGAGAAUAUCAGUGGAGUCGAGUAGAGAUGACAUUCGCAGCUUAGCAAAGAAGAUACUCAGAUCAAACCCUCACUUCUCAAACUGAACAUGAAGUAACAGCAAGAGAUGUACAUAAACAUAACUGGCGAGCUGAGUCUGAAACUAAGAUUAUGUCCUGUGAUCAUUUAUAUGAUGUUGUAUCCUGUCUCCGUUGAACGUGGACUCCGUUGCUAAUUUUCCUGAACAGUUUCUUGAUCAUUUUUUGCUACAAAUCUGUAGUGAAUACUCCUUAUGGUUUGAAAUUUGAUAUGGCCAAGCUCUCCUAUGUAUGAUUGAUGUUGGGAAACAUGGAGUAGAUGGAUCAAACUCAUGUCUCCUCGCUGAUGUUGUGUUUUGCAUUAAAGUAACAAGACUUAUUUGGAAUCAGUUUUGUUCUCAUUUAACAAUCAUACAAGUGUUACAAAUGGAGUAUGUGAGUGGUCACAAAAGAUAGUUUUAAGAGUAGAUGUUUUCGUAACUCCUAAUGAUUUUAAUUGAAUCUCUUUUUCUUUGUUCUUUUGUCGAUGUGAUGGCAUUGUUAGAUUCUUCUUCUAAUCGUAAAGGCCUUCGUCAUACCAUAUAUCGACCAGAAAGUCCACCAUCUCCUACACAAACAUCAGAUUGGACAAAUUCAGUUAUUUGAGAAUGAUUUUUUAGCUUCUUUGAAUAAAUGAGAGAUUAGAUCAAAAGCUUACGGGUAAAGGAAUCGACUCAGAGAAAGGUUCAUGAGUUGAGAGAAGAUCUUCAUAUGUAGUGGACCAACUACAAGAGAUUCAAGAUUAUGUUAAAGAGUAUACAUCACUAGAAUAUUAAUAAAACACAACAAGAGAAACAUAGAUCUCAUUGUUAAAAUAACCUUAUAAUCUGAUCCUUUGUAGUCUUUUUUCUUUGUCGAGAUUGAUCUCCCACCCAUUUUUCUCUGUUCUCUUGCCACACCUUUACACCUGCAACCAAUAAGAUGCUUAAGAACAAAUAGUCUCAAAUUACAGAACCAACAAAUUAUAAUCUCUUAUGGUUGCUCUUAUAAUAUCUUUGUUAAGCUAGUUGUGAAAAAUGUACCAUGAUUUACAGGUGUAAUGGUGUUUUCAGUGUUCUUUUUAACCGAGCUUUUAUCUUCUAUGACCAGUUUUGAAAGCUCAAGAGGUUUGUUUUCCGUGGACAGACAAUUUGCAGUAAAAAGCUCCAUUGUUGUGAUUCAAUCGAAUGAUCAUUCCUUUGCGAAAUAAAUUUGAUUAUACGAACAUUCAACAAAGAAUAUCAAAGGUUCCCACACAAGCUGCUAGAAACACAAACAUUAUAUUAAAACCAUAUUCAUCAUGAAACUAUUACAGGAAAGAGGUUGGGUUUAGUUUUACCUCAUUGACAUUUUCAUCAAUCAGCUUGUGGGAAAACCUAAAAGAAAAGAUUAAAUAAACAAGAAUACCAGAUUCCUCAGAAAAAUAUCAAUUCAUUAUCAAAGGAUGAAAAUUCAAUACAAAACCAAAAAAAAAAAAAAAAAGAUUGAUUGUUUCACAUUGCCGUUCAUAUUCAUUACCAAAUCUUCAUCUAUAAAGCAACACAAAGAGUAUAUCUUUAAAUGUACACCUACUUCUGUUUCCUUAAGAAAGAUCAUUUUGGAACAUAAUGUAUUCAAGAUCCAAUCAGAAGCAUUCAAGAUCCAAUUAUUAUCUUAUGGAUAAGCUAAAGUUCUUUAGAGAAACAGAACAUUUACAGGAAACAAGAACAGAGGAAAGAGGAUUUACCUACCUAAAUGAGGACGUACCCAGCAGAAAAUUUGGUGGGAGGAUUGAAACUUGUUUUCUUUUAGGUUUAUAUGUAAAUGAAAUGUUAGAUCUUGAUGAGCCAAUUAAAAUGAACUAAAAAUAAAGUUAAAAAGGAAUAAUAGCCAAAAAUAGGAGAGAAUAAAAAGGAAUUAAAGUGUUUACUUUGUUGGUAGAUGAGUAGUAAUAAUAAUAAAAUGAUCUAUAUCCACCACCACUAUCCAGAUCUGUUUUGGGUCAAUGAGACAGAAAAAUUGAAGUAAGGCCCACGCAUCUGAUAAAACAACACAGCUUUCUCUUUCAAUCAUACGUGGAUGUGAUUAGGAAAAAGAUAAUAUAUCAUCAUUUACUAUAUGGUAAGAGAAUUAUAAUGAAAUUUUGUCACAUGUUUUAAUCAUAUUAUUAUUAUAUUUACAAUUCUACAUACACUACUUUGAUUUUUCCUCAGAUUUUAUCUCGAGAUGACUGACCAUAUCAAAUCUAUACUAUACUAAAAGAGGAUAUAAGCCCCUCUUAGAGUGUCCACGUAGGCACAAAAAAUCGUCCAAUCAGAGAGUCCAAAAUUGCCAUGUCAUCUCAUUUAUUUUUUCGUAAAAAAUGAAAAAACAAUGCAAAGGAGAAGAUCGAACCCGGGUUAGUAUGACAUAAAUAUAGGGCAUAUACCACUAAGCUAUUGAAACUUUCUUGGACACAUAUACAAGAAUUACUAAAUAUGUAAUCACAAACUCUUAUGUACAUUUACAAUAAUAUGGAUUCAACUUUCAAAACUCCGAUACUUUGUUUUGUAAAAUAAAAAAAAGUAAGUGACUAAGCUAAUAUAUUCUUUGAAAGUGUGAGAACAUUGACAAAUAUGAAAAAACAUAGAUUUUUGUUUUCGUGACAAAGUUAAGAAUUUUGUAAAAGUAAGUUUAACAUAUAAAUUUCCGUGACAAAUAUGAAAAAGCAUAGAUUUUGUACAAUUUUAACAAAAGAACUCAAAACAUAGUUCUCUAAUGACUUAAUAAAAUAUUAUUUAAGGGUGCAAUAAUUAAAUAUAUCAAUUCACUAAAUUUUGUAAUUUAUAGACAAAACAAUAACACAACAAAUUUUGAAACAUUUGUUUAACCUAUCGAUUUAUUUUCAUGAGAAUCCAACUAAACAAGAUAAAAAAACAAUUAGAUUUAUUUAAUUACAAUUUUAUUCAAUUUUGAAUAAUUUCAAAUUGUACUAAUGUAUCUUUUUGAAGUUACAAAAAAUAAUGUUCUUUCUUUAUUACACUAGCAUUAUAUAUAGAUUCCAUAUACACAAAUAAAUAUAAUAUAACAACAUAAGCUUGCUUUCCCCGAUUCAUAUGAAAACUUUUUAAGUUAUCCACCAAACCAAAUUAAUUAAAUCAAUAAAAUUGUUAGAAUACAAAAAGUUAAUAUAUAAUUUUAUUUUAAAUUAAAUUAAUAAAAAGUGUAUUUUCAUUAAAAACAAAAUAAUAAAUAAGUAAAACUGAUUUGAUGGUAAUUUUUAUGACAUAUAUAUAUAUAUUAUGUGAAAGAAAUAUAAGCUUAAUAUGGAAAAAAAUCUUAAAUACAAAAAACUCUAAAAUUAACAAAAAAAAUUAAUAAAAAUUAAACUAUGAUAUCAAUUGAAAGCUUCUUAGACAAUAUUAAUAAAAUAUUUAAGCGCUAAUUAGAUAAAUUUGAUUUUUUUGCUAGCCAAAAGUUUAUUAUAAUUAGCAUCAGUUAUUUCAAGAUAUUUAAGAAAUGAUAGACUUAAAUGAUAUAUCAUUUGCACAUCAUUUCCAGUUUUUUUAUGCAUAGAUUCAAUUUAUUCAGAGCAGUUAUUCCACAAAGAGAUCGUAUGAGAUAUUAUUUUGAUAUUCAGAUUUGUUUCUUGACUGUUAAGAAGAUUGAUAACUGUAAAAAUAUCACCUUCGAAUAUUAUAUGUCUAUAACCGAAUCCCCAACAUGAGACAACUUAGUUUAAAAAGUAAAUAAUUUCAUUUUUCUUAUAUUAUAUAAUAAAUAUAUAUUAUUUACUGUUAACAAAAAUAUAGUUAUUCAUCUAUCACAAAUAUCUAUGGAAAUAUGUGAAUUAAGUACAACAAUCAAACAACAUAAUAAUUUCCACAAAAAAAAUUGAAAAAAUAUAUUUAUGUUAGGUAGUCUUAUUUUAUAUUCUUUAAAUAAUGUAAUACAAUAUUAUACAUUAUUUUUUUAGAAUUGAGAAAUACAUAUAUAUUAGUUAGAUAAAUUAAGCGAUAAUUAGACAAAUUUGAUUUUUUUUCGAGCCAAAAGUUUAUUAUUAAUUAGCAUCAGUUAUUUCAAGAUGUUUAAGAAAGGAUAGACAAAAAAAUAGGAUGGACAUAAAUGAUAUAUGAACUAUGAAUAGUAUUUUGUAAAGCUGACUUAGAUAACACAUCUGCACAUCUAUUUCCAGUCCUUUUUGAUGUCUAAAUUCAAUUUCUUCAGAGCAGUUAUUCCACAAAAAGAUCGUAUGAGAUAUUGUUGUGAUAUUCAGAUUUGUUUUUUGACUGUUAAGAAGAUUGAUAACUGUAAAAUAUCUCAUUCGAAUAUGAUAUGUCUAUAACUGAGUCUACAACAUGAGACAAGUUUGUUUUAAAAGUAAAUAAUUUUAUUUUUCUUAUAUUAUAUAAUAAAUAGAUAUUAUUUACUGAUAAUAAAAAUAUUGUUAUUCAUCUAUCACAAAUAACUAUGCAAAUAUGUGAAUCAAGUACAACAAUCAAACAACAUAAUGAUUUCCACAAAGAAAUUUUUAAAAAUAUAUUUAUGUUAUGUAGUCUUAUUUUAUAUUCUUUAAAUAAUGUAAUACAAUAUUAUACAUUAUUUUUUAAAAUUUAGAAAUACAUCUAAUAUCUUAUCCGCGCGUAGCGCGGUUAAAAAAUCUAGUUAUCAAUAAUCAAGAUAGAUAACAUGUUUGCGUGUUUGGUUUACCAUUCUUGAUUUUGCUUUUUUCUUCUUCUUAUCAUAAUUGCGUUAACCUAGAUUAAGUGUUUUAAGAGUAAUAUUUAUGUCUUAUGAUGAUGAUAAUGAUAUUGAAAUUGUAGUCAUUUGCAUUAUCGGUAAUCUUACACCACAUUGGCGCUGACAAACACAAAAGAAACAGACUUUUUCUCUCUCAAUUUGGUUACAUAUUCUAUUCCAUACUGUAAAAGUUUUAAAACCCUGUUAGUGUUAAGAUUUCAAUCAAUAUCAACCACUUACUGGUAUGAUUCUCUCGUUCGUUUAUUUCCUUGUUGCUUAGCUUUGUAUUUUUCGGUUUAGGAAACUAGAUCGUAUUGCUUUGGUAUAUAACAGUGUAAAGACCUAAAUAUGAAUUGAUAUGAUAAAUCCUUAUCUGAUUCUUCUAUAGAACCAAAAGAAACAAAUCCUUAUCCGAUUCUUCUUCUAAAAGAUAUGCAAGAAGAUCAAAAUACCAUUAAAAUAAAAAACAGAUCUUUUAAUCGGAAGAAGAGGUUUGUGGCAGAAACAAACCAGAAUCAUGGACGUUAUGGAAAAUAAACAUUCUCAAAGGAACUAGAGGUUGUGGAGACGCAUUUUCAAAAGUAGAAAAAAUACACGAAAUAAGUGUGGGCCUUAGUUUGAAAGGAAGAAUGUGAGAUAUCAGACAAAUCAUACAUUGACAUUUAGACAAAUGAAAGUCUAGUAUAUAAAAAAUAUUCAACUCUAAUUAGUACGAAACCUUUUGGAAAGAAAAUCAAAAAUAAAACCACGCGAGUUUGCUUAAAGCCCAAAAUGAACGAUAUCGUACUAACCAGACAAUACAUAGUUGGACAUGGAUUCAAUAAAUCCCAACUAAAAUAAUAUUAACAACUUAAACUCAAUUAUUAAUCAGGUAAAUUACUUGUGUCUUGUGUGAGUUGGUUAAUAAUAUAUAUCUAAGUUGGUAAAACAAAUAAAAGUGUAUCAUCAUCUCAUUUAUUAAAGAAGUUAGAAAUCUUAAUUAAAAGUUAUGAACUAUCAACAAGACAACAAGUCAAUUUUUUUCUUCUGUAAUGGAAGUAUAAAAUAUGUGAAUAUUUACCAAAACUCAAAGCCUCAAAGUCUGACAAUCUAAAUGAUGUAAAUUUUGUUAAGUCACAUAUCGGUUCGUAAACCGAUUCAAAAGGUUUAAUCACAUAGAAUUCAAGCUCACACGAAGCAAUAGAUCACCAAGACAAAACAAAGGUUUCAGACAAUCUGUCUUUCAUUACAGAGAGUUUUGAUACACAUAAAGCUCAUAGGACACAUUACUAUCUUUUCUUUACAAAGUCACUAGUUCAAAGGGAUAACAAUAUCGCCAAUGUUUUUGUGCCAUGGAUCCG